GGUGGACGCCCUGGGCCGUUGCUGCCCCCGGACGCCAGUGGGGGAAGAAGGGUCUCCGAGGCUCAAGUGCACCGAGGCCCCAGCCACCCUUUGCGACGUCGCCGCAGGCUUCGGGAACAAUAGAUGUGGUUUGGGUUGGUUUCGCCCAGACCUGGUGGUGCCUCGGUUAGGGUGGCCAACAGGCCCGGCCCUAAUCUACGUCUCGAAGUCUGCGUGCCCCUCGGCUGGAGAAGCAGAAGCGCGGACGCCGGAAAGAGCCGCUGCUGGCCGUGGGGAAGAAAGUUCCCUCCUCACCCUCGGCCUCGGCCUGCGCCGCCCAAGUAGGGGUCUUUGAAGAAUGUGCAAAAUGUGGAAAUGCCACACCUCUGCGGGCAACAACGUUUGGCUCCUUGCCUAAGGAGAGAAACAGCCCUUCCCUGAGGUGUUGGAUGAACGACAGCGUCAUCAUUUGAAUCCCAGCAAGAGCAAAAGGAAGAAAAUAAACCAGUCACUAUCUCAAAGAUGCUGUCCUGCCAUCCUCCAGCUCCAUGAAGCCCUCUGCGACCCACUGACACAGGAAGUGUGUGGCCCCUCCUGGUGCAAAGAUAGCAGCACAGCAAGCCCACCACCCUACAAGCCCACAGGGCACCGGGCACCGGGCACACUGAAUCCAU